UUGAGCAGGAAUAUGAAGCAACAUCGAGGUUUCUCAUUAAUCUAUAAUGUGCCACAUCCUGACUUAGUUUUGAUGGGAUGCUAAGGAGGUAUUUGGGGGUCCUACAGAGCAAAUCUUUCCGUUGAGCUUCUGCUCGCUUAGGUUCAUACCUCCGUCCAGUGCUCAAAUUGACGGCUUGUGCUCCUCCUGAGAAGGUUUGGCUCCGUUCUCGGUGGCUUUUUCCCGAUUUAUGGUCUUCGUUGCGGUUUGCAUGUUGUUUGGUUUCGCUAUUGUGGUUGCAAAUUUUUUUUUGGGUUUGUUGGUUGUCGAUCGGACGCAUUUGGUGCAAGUUUUGCGGGGGUCGUAUCUGAAUUUGGAUUUUCAAAUUGCAUCUUAGCAGUUAGCAUGCACAAUUUUCAGAUAUCCAAGAAAUCUUUUUCUGAUUAUUACAGUCGUUCCAGAGAGGGUGUGCGAGCAUGGUUUAGUUCUCUAAGAUUGUCUUUGUGCAGUGCCAGUGGUUUUUUGUGUUUAUUUUCUUCUCAAGAGUAACUUUUUGGGCCUCUUUUUGUGUUUGAGGAGUGUCAUGGUAUGCGAUCUACCUGUUAUUGGUUACAAGUUACGACGCUGUGGCUGGAGCGGUUUUAUUUGUUGUCACUUGCCGAUUGGGGUUUUCGUGCCAUCCCUAUGUGUUUAUUCAUGCAUGAUUACUUUUGUUUGGCCUACUUGUGUCUAUUGUGUUCUUAUAAUCUGUAUUUAUGCUUGUGGUCGAGGAUGAUGAGGACGACGACAACAGCCAUGACGAUGAUAAUGAUGACGACGACGACAAUGAAGAAAGGGUUCGUGAAGGAUUUUGAAGUUUUUAGUACCGAUUAAUACCUGAUUGCUGCAGCAUCAGAGAAUAUUAAUCAGUACGUGUUCUUCUCCAUCGCUGAUUGGAUGCUAAAAACUUGAUUGCUUGGAUCAGCAUAAGUACAAUAAGUUUUCUUAUAUUCUUGCUCUCUAAUCCUUUUCUCCAUCCAUAUUUUUGUUAGGGCUUUCUAUGUUUCUAAUAACAAUGAAGUUUGCGUAAAAAUGCCGCUGGGUAUGGAGACAGCAAAGAAGAAGAAUUCUGCUAAACCGUUUGUAAGGUCUUCUUUUAUUUUGAGAACUGAAAGUGAGUUUUUCUUACUUCUUGUUUUAAUGGGAUGUAACAAGAUUUGCAAGUUGAGCGAGUCAAUUAUUGCCAGCACUCUUGUGGCUUAGUCUGAGUAGCUACCUCAACAAAGUUUAGCGAUUGUCAUGAGGCAUGAAUUCAAUCAGCAAGAUAGUCUUCCCAAGUUUGGAAAGCAUGAAGCAACAAGUUAGGAUUAAGGUGUCCAUCAAAAUCAAAAUAACAGUACGAAAAUCAUAAAGAUAUUUAUGCUUCUUCAUUUCAUAUUGGAGUGAUCUACUUCUACUUAGGUACGAAUAUAUUAGUUUUUUCUUUCUAUCCAAAUUUUCUGUAGUUUACACCCUGUAUCAGUCUUUCAUUCAAUGAAUUGAGCUAUUGCAAUGGGAUAAGAA